rnacentral:lncRNA from 1 species
CUCCCCUUUAUCCAAUGCCUUGAUCUGAUGGUGAUCAGAUCUAAAAAGAGAAAAGAGAGAGAAGAAGAGAAGAAGAAGGAUUCUUCUUCUCUUCAUGGUGAUCUGGUUCAGAUCCCGUCAGAUCUGUGCGAAAGAGUUCACACAGCGAUCUCCUUCUUCGAAAUCUAGAAGAAGAGAUCUAGAUCCAAGGAUGAGGAGAGAGAUCUGUAAGGUGCUAGCACAUCAAUAAUCUUGGUGCUCUGAUCAGGUAUCUCCAUGUGGAUAUUAGUAGAGAUCGGAAGCAUGCACAGCUAUGAUUAGAAUCUGAGACAUCCGUAGGAUCCGAGGUAUGGAG